GAUCUAUUCUGAUACUACUUCAUAUUCUAAAAUUGGAAUGAUACUGAGAAGAUUCACAUGGUCUCCGUGCAAGGAUGACACACAGAUUCAUGAGUGUUCCUUAUCAUUU